rnacentral:rRNA from 1 species
CAUGCUCAGAUGAACGCUGGCGGCAGGCCUAACACAUGCAAGUCGAACGGUAACAGGAAGCAGCUUGCUUCUUCGCUGACGAGUGGCGGACGGGUGAGUAAUGUCUGGGAAACUGCCUGAUGGAGGGGGAUAACUACUGGAAACGGUAGCUAAUACCGCAUAACGUCGCAAGACCAAAGAGGGGGACCUUCGGGCCUCUUGCCAUCGGAUGUGCCCAGAUGGGAUUAGCUAGUAGGUGGGGUAACGGCUCACCUAGGCGACGAUCCCUAGCUGGUCUGAGAGGAUGACCAGCCACACUGGAACUGAGACACGGUCCAGACUCCUACGGGAGGCAGCAGUGGGGAAUAUUGCACAAUGGGCGCAAGCCUGAUGCAGCCAUGCCGCGUGUAUGAAGAAGGCCUUCGGGUUGUAAAGUACUUUCAGCGGGGAGGAAGGGAGUAAAGUUAAUACCUUUGCUCAUUGACGUACCCGCAGAAGAAGCACCGGCUA